UACGUAGGGGGCUAGCGUUGUCCGGAAUCAUUGGGCGUAAAGCGCGCGUAGGUGGCCUCAUAAGUCCGCUGUGAAAGUCAAAGGCUCAACCUUUGAAAGCCGGUUGAUACUGUCGGGCUAGAGUCCGGAAGAGGCGAGUGGAAUUCCCGGUGUAGCGGUGAAAUGCGUAGAUAUCUGGAGGAACACCGGUGGCGAAGGCGGCAUUCUGGACCGACAUUGACGCUGAGGAGCGAAAGCCAGGGGAGCAAACGGG
rnacentral:rRNA from 1 species